CACGUAGGGCGCGAGCGUUGUCCGGAAUUAUUGGGCGUAAAGAGCUCGUAGGCGGCCUGUUGCGUCCGCUGUGAAAGCCCGGGGCUUAACCCCGGGUCGGCAGUGGAUACGGGCAGGCUAGAGGUAGGUAGGGGAGAAUGGAAUUCCCGGUGUAGCGGUGAAAUGCGCAGAUAUCGGGAGGAACACCGGUGGCGAAGGCGGUUCUCUGGGCCGAUACUGACACUGAGAAGCGAAAGCGUGGGGAGCGAACAGG
rnacentral:rRNA from 1 species